rnacentral:rRNA from 1 species
CUGCUGCCUCCCGUAGGAGUCUGGUCCGUGUCUCAGUACCAGUGUGGGGGACCUUCCUCUCAGAACCCCUACGCAUCGUCGGUUAGGUGGGCCGUUACCCCGCCUACUGCCUAAUGCGCCGCAUGCCCAUCCCUGUCCGGCCGAAGCCUUUCCUGCCUCCGGGAUGCCCCGGUGGCAUGUACGCGGGUUUAGCCCGCCUUUCGGGCGGGUUCGUCCCCCUGACAGGGGCAGGUUGCAUACGUGUUACUCACCCGUGCGCCGGUCGCCGGCGGAGAAAG